rnacentral:rRNA from 1 species
GAUGAACGCUGGCGGCGUGCUUAACACAUGCAAGUCGAGCGAGAAAAGUUCUUCGGAGCUUUUCUAGCGGCGGACGGUGAGUAACACGUGGGCAACCUGCCUCAUAGAGGGGAAUAGCCUUCCGAAAGGAAGAUUAAUACCGCAUAAUAUUGUUGAAAGGCAUCUUUUAACAAUCAAAGGAGCAAUCCGCUAUGAGAUAGGCCCCGCGGCGCAUUAGCUAGUUGGUGAGGUAACGGCUCACCAAGGCGACGAUGCGUAGCCGACCUGAGAGGGUGAUCGGCCACAUUGGAACUGAGACACGGUCCAGACUCCUACGGGAGGCAGCAGUGGGGAAUAUUGCACAAUGGGGGAAACCCUGAUGCAGCAACGCCGCGUGAGUGAUGAAGGUCUUCGGAUUGUAAAGCUACUGUCUUUAGGGACGAUAAUGACGGUACCUAAGGAGGAAGCCACGGCUAACUACGUGCCAGCAGCCGCGGUAAU